UACGGGGGGGGCAAGCGUUGUUCGGAAUUACUGGGCGUAAAGGGCUCGUAGGCGGCCAACUAAGUCGGAUGUGAAAUCCCCAGGCUUAACCUGGGAACUGCAUCCGAUACUGGAUGGCUUGAAUCCGGGAGAGGGAUGCAGAAUUCCAGGUGUAGCGGUGAAAUGCGUAGAUAUCUGGAGGAACACCGAUGGCGAAGGCAGGUCUCUGGGCAUUAACUGACGCUGAUGGACGAAAGCGUGGGGAGCGAACAGG
rnacentral:rRNA from 1 species